rnacentral:rRNA from 1 species
UACGUAGGGUGCAAGCGUUGUCCGGAAUUAUUGGGCGUAAAGGGCUCGUAGGCGGUCCAUCGCGUCGGGAGUGAAAAGCUGGGGCUCAACCCCAGUCCUGCUUCCGAUACGGGUGGACUAGAGGUAUGCAGGGGAGAACGGAAUUCCUGGUGUAGCGGUGGAAAUGACGCAGAUAUCAGGAGGAACACCGGUGGCGAAGGCGACUC